CUACGAGAGGCAGCAGUGAGGAAUAUUGCACAAUGGGGGGAACCCUGAUGCAGCAACGCCGCGUGGAGGAUGACGCAUUUCGGUGUGUAAACUCCUUUUAUAUGUCAAGAAAAUGACGGUAGCAUAUGAAUAAGCAUCGGCUAACUCCGUGCCAGCAGCCGCGGUAAUACGGAGGGUGCAAGCGUUACUCGGAAUCACUGGGCGUAAAAGACGCGUAGGCGGGUUGGAAAGUCAGGUGUGAAAUCCUACAGCUUAACUGUAGAACUGCACUUGAAACUUCUAAUCUAGAGUAUGGGAGGGGGAGAUGGAAUUAGUGGUGUAGGGGUAAAAUCCGUAGAUAUCACUAGGAAUACCUAAAGCGAAGGCGAUCUCCUGGAACAUUACUGACGCUAAGGCGUGAAAGCGUGGGGAGCAAACAGGAUUAGAUACCCCCGUAGUC
rnacentral:rRNA from 1 species